rnacentral:rRNA from 1 species
GCAAGUCGAACGAGAACAGGAUUGCUUGCAAUCCUAAGUAAAGUGGCGCACGGGUGAGUAACACGUGGAUAACCUGCCUUAUGUUCCGGAACAACAUUGCGAAAGCGAUGCUAAUACCGGAUGAUGUUCUUUUCCCCUCGGGGAAGUUAAUGAAAGGGUGCCUCUAUUUAUACGCAUCUGACAUAAGAUGGGUCCGCGGAUCAUUAGCUAGAUGGUGGGGUAACGGCUUACCAUGGCGACGAUGAUUAGCUGGUCUGAGAGGAUGAUC